GACGAACGCUGGCGGCGUGCUUAACACAUGCCAGUCGAACGGAAAGGCCCUGCUUUUGUGGGGUGCUCGAGUGGCGAACGGGUGAGUAACACGUGAGUAACCUGCCCUUGACUUUGGGAUAACUUCAGGAAACUGGGGCUAAUACCGGAUAGGAGCUCCUGCUGCAUGGUGGGGGUUGGAAAGUUUCGGCGGUUGGGGAUGGACUCGCGGCUUAUCAGCUUGUUGGUGGGGUAGUGGCUUACCAAGGCUUUGACGGGUAGCCGGCCUGAGAGGGUGACCGGCGACAGUGGGAAUGAGAUACGGCCGAGACGCCUACGGGAGGCAGCAGUGGGGAAUAGUGCACAAUGGGCGGAAGCCUGAUGCAGCAACGCCGCGUGCGGGAUGACGGCCGUCGGGUGGGAAACCGCUUUCGCCGGUGACGAAGCGUGAGUGACGGGAAUGGGUAAAGAAGCACCGGCUAACUACGUG
rnacentral:rRNA from 1 species